rnacentral:rRNA from 1 species
ACUCCUACGGGAGGCAGCAGUGGGGAAUAUUGCACAAUGGGCGCAAGCCUGAUGCAGCCAUGCCGCGUGUAUCGAAGAAGGCCUUCGGGUUGAUAAAGUACUUUCAGCAGUGAGGAAGGUGGUAUGUUAAUAGACUGCAUUAUUUGACGUUAGACCGACAUGAAGAAGCACCGGCUAACUCCGUGCCAGCAAGCCGCGGUAAUACGGAGGGUGCGAGCGUUAAUCGGAAUUACUGGGCGUAAAGCGCAUGCAGGUGGUUUGUUAAGUCAGAUGUGAAAGCCCGGGGCUCAACCUCGGAAUUGCAUUUGAAACUGGCAGACUAGAGUACUGUAGAGGGGGGUAGAAUUUCAGGUGUAGCGGUGAAAUGCGUAGAGAUCUGAAGGAAUACC